rnacentral:tRNA from 1 species
AAGGGGCUAGUCUAAACCAAGACAAUUAAUUUCGACUUAAUAAAUUCUGAUUUACUCAGAGCCCCUGA